UACGUAGGGGGCGAGCGUUGUCCGGAAUCAUUGGGCGUAAAGGGCGCGUAGGCGGAUCAUUAAGUCUGGUGUGAAAUAUAGGGGCUCAACCCCUAAACUGCAUCGGAAACUGGUGAUCUUGAGGACAGGAGAGGAAAGUGGAAUUCCACGUGUAGCGGUGAAAUGCGUAGAGAUGUGGAGGAACACCAGUGGCGAAGGCGACUUUCUGGACUGUAACUGACGCUGAGGCGCGAAAGCGUGGGGAGCAAACAGG
rnacentral:rRNA from 1 species